UACGUAGGGUGCAAGCGUUAAUCGGAAUUACUGGGCGUAAAGCGUGCGCAGGCGGUUCGCUAAGACAGAUGUGAAAUCCCCGGGCUUAACCUGGGAACUGCAUUUGUGACUGUAGAGCUGGAGUGCGGCAGAGGGGGAUGGAAUUCCGCGUGUAGCAGUGAAAUGCGUAGAUAUGCGGAGGAACACCGAUGGCGAAGGCAAUCCCCUGGGCCUGCACUGACGCUCAUGCACGAAAGCGUGGGGAGCAAACAGG
rnacentral:rRNA from 1 species